rnacentral:rRNA from 1 species
UACGUAGGGAGCAAGCGUUGUUCGGAUUUACUGGGCGUAAAGGGCGCGUAGGCGGCGCGGUAAGUCACUUGUGAAAUCUCUGAGCUUAACUCAGAACGGCCAAGUGAUACUGCAGUGCUAGAGUGCAGAAGGGGCAAUCGGAAUUCUUGGUGUAGCGGUGAAAUGCGUAGAUAUCAAGAGGAACACCGGAGGUGAAGACGGGUUGCUGGGCUGACACUGACGCUGAGGCGCGAAAGCUAGGGUAGCAAACGGG